rnacentral:rRNA from 1 species
GACAGAGGGUGCAAACGUUGUUCGGAAUUACUGGGCGUAAAGCGUGCGCAGGCGGUCCGCAAAGUCUGAUGUGAAAGCCCCGGGCUCAACCUGGGAACUGCAUUGGAAACUAACGGGCUCGAGUGUGGCAGAGGGGGGUGGAAUUCCACGUGUAGCAGUGAAAUGCGUAGAGAUGUGGAGGAACACCGAUGGCGAAGGCAGCCCCCUGGGCUAACACUGACGCUCAGGCACGAAAGCGUGGGGAGCAAACAGG